rnacentral:rRNA from 1 species
AUGGAGGUAGUGACGGGUGCCAUCGGAAGCCUGCUUCCAAAGCUGGGCGAGCUGCUUAAGGAGGAGUACAAGCUGCAGAAGGGCGCCAAGAAAGAUGUCCAGUCUCUUACGAGAGAAGUUGUGAGCAUGCAGGCUGCCCUUGGCAAGGUAGGGCAGAUCCCGCGUGAGCAGCUCGACGAGCAGGUCAAGCUAUGGGCAGGAGAAGUCAGGGAGCUAUCCUAUGUCAUGGAGGACACAAUCGACACCUUUCUGGUCCGCGUCGAGGGCUCUGAGCCUGAGGUCAACUCAGACGGCUCCGCUUUCGGUGCGCUCAUGAAGAAGAUGGUCAAAUUGUUCGACAAGGGCAAGACUCGCCAUCAGAUUGCAGAUGCGAUCAAGGACAUUAAGGACCGGGUCCAGGAGGUUGCUCAACGGCGAAGCAACUACAAGAUCGAUGACAUCGUCGCAAGUCCUCCUUCCUCAACCACCAUCGACCCCCGUCUCUCGGCUCUCUACAACAAGAUUACUGACCUUGUUGGCAUCGAUGAGCCGAGGGAGGAGCUAAUCAAGAGGCUCGCGGAGGGCGGCGAUGCAAUCAAGGUUGUCUCCCUUGCUGGAUUUGGGGGAUUGGGCAAGACAACUCUUGCCAAAGCAGUAUAUGAAAGCUUGAGAGCACAGUUUGAUUGCGCGGCCUUUGUUUCGGUGUCUCAGAAUCCUGACAUAACAAGGGUCUUCAAGAAGAUGUUGCAUCAACUUGACCAUAAAAAAUACGCCCACAUCAACGAAGCAUCAUGGGAUGAAACACAACUCAUCGAUGAACUAAGGGAGUUCCUUCGGACAAAGAGGUACGUCAUUGUUAUCGAUGACAUUUGGAAUAUCCAGCCAUGGGAAAUAAUCAGAUAUGCUUUGGUUGAGAAUAAUUCUGCAAGUAGAAUAAUUACAACUACCCGUGACUUUGAUAUUGCUGAAAGAGUUGGAGGUUGUUACAACCUAAAACCCCUUGUCCUAGAGAGCUCUAAAAUAUUAUUCUAUAGAAGAAUAUUUGGUUCAGAAGAAAAAUGCCCUGAACAUUUGGCUGAAAUAUCUAUGAAGAUUUUGAAGAAAUGUGGCGGUGUGCCAUUAGCUAUCAUUACCAUGGCUAGUCUGUUGUCUGUACCUAGUAAGAUGGUAAAUCCAAGUGAGUGGUAUGAGGAUUAUCACUCGAUUGGUUCGGGACUUGGAGAUAGUCCAAGUGUGAAGAAUAUGAGGAUGAUAUUAUCACUUAGCUAUUAUAGUCUACCUUCCCAUCUAAGGACUUGCCUACUGUAUCUCUCUGUGUUUCCAGAAGAUUAUGAGAUUCCCAGAGAUAAGUUGAUAUGGAAAUGGAUAAGUGAAGGUUUUAUCCAUCAUAAAAAUCCUGAGGAUAGGUUGUUUGAGGUCGGAGAGAGGUAUUUCAUUGAGCUUAUAAACAGAGGCCUGAUCCAGCCAUGCUUCGGUAAUCAGGAUAUUAUGAUAACACAUUGCCGUUUGCAUGAUAUGGUUCUUGAUCAUUUGUUUCUUAUCAAGUGA